rnacentral:lncRNA from 1 species
UCUAAGUAAAAGUACUUUUUUUUUCCUCGAGGUUACUUGGAAGCCUGGGACAAGAGCUGAGCAAUAAUUUCUUCUCAGCCUGCCAGAGAAGCUGCAGAUUGUGCUGCAAGAAUAUCCCUGAAGUACCGAUGAUGAUGUCCAGUUCUAAAAUUAAUCUGGAAAGGAAACCACGUUGUUUUGAAGGAAAGCCUCAGUGAAGCAUCUGGACACACACCAGGAAGGCUAUGAGGGGUUAGCAGGGAGCUGAGGGCACACUUGGGAUCGCUGCUGCCUCGUCUGCCGCUCCUGCACUCACAGCAGGUCACUGAGAAACGUGGGACAAGGACUGACUGAUAGCUUCUCGCAGGCCCUAGCAGGAAGAGCAGCAGCAAAUUGUGUUGGAAGAGUUUCCUUUGCUGGUUUACGAGAGACCCCGCAACGUUUUCUUAGAACAGUUCAGCGUGGAAAAGAAUUUCACGUGGUGAUUCAGAAGUUACUGUU